UACGUAGGGUGCAAGCGUUAAUCGGAAUUACUGGGCGUAAAGCGUGCGCAGGCGGUUUUUGUAAGUCUGACGUGAAAGCCCCGGGCUUAACCUGGGAAUUGCGUUUGGAGACUGCAAGGCUUGAAUCUGGCAGAGGGGGGUAGAAAUUCCACGUGUAGCAGUGAAAUGCGUAGAGAUGUGGAGGAACACCGAUGGCGAAGGCAGCCCCCCUGGGUCAAGAUUGACGCUCAUGCACGAAAGCGUGGGGAGCAAACAGG
rnacentral:rRNA from 1 species